rnacentral:misc_RNA from 1 species
UUCAAAGAUAGUGUCUUUUUAUUGACUGUGAUAGAAACUUUAAUCCUUGUCAUGUGACAACAAGAAUAUCAUGCUUCACAGCAAUUGAUUAGCCUGUGGUCUUAUGCAAAUGUACAAUAUGCUUUUACGGAGUCAUUGCUAUAUUGAGGAGCAGAAAGGAAAGAAUUGCAUUUCCCCUUGUAUCACUGUUUAUUGAAAUAUAAGAUGUUAUCUUUGAA